UGUGUUUACUGUAUUUUAGUUAUUGCUAAAUGAAAGCAUUUUUAAGAAAAAUGAGAAGCCUGAUUUUGGUAUCUGCUUUUUGCUACAGAAACAAAUAUAAUCACAUAAAGUCAGCAUUGUUGCUCGCCAUUUAAAGACAGAUGGAAAGGGUGAGCUCUAGCAAGAAUUUCAUGAAUCACAUUUUUGUUAUCAAGAUGGAGGCAGAUGACCACCAAUAGCACCGUAUUUUGUUGUCUCAAGGUCCUGCGUCCUUCUUUGCAGACAUUGAAAAAAUUCAAACAAAGUACCUCAUUUAAGACUCUGCAUGUCCUGUUCACAUGUGAACAAAUGUGCACAAAGUACAAAAGUAUUUCAAGAUCAACUUUCCCACUCCUCUGUAAGGAAACAGCUGUCAAUAACACUGCAUGUACAGGACUCCAAGAGGAAAAGUAUGGGAUUUCACAAUUGCCAUUUUCUGAGCACUCAUACUAACACACAAGGUCUGUUUAUUCUUUCAAACAUUCUAUUAAAAAAAAAAAAACUUACAAAUCAAGUAAGCUGUUAAAAUUGCAUCAUCCUGGCAGCAGCUCUGAGAAGCUAUCCAAGUUGGUGUGAUCAGAUCAAUUUAUAAGAAAAACCUUUCAACAGACCCAGAAAGGACCUAAAGACCCCAGAGGGGGUCUCUUCAGCUGCCCGCCUGCCUGAGAUCACCCGGCGGGUGCGCGACCUCCCGGACUGCGCGACAACAGAUCCAGCAAGGACCCAAAGACCCCGGAGGGGGUCUCUUCAGCUGCCUGCCUGCCUGAGAUCA
rnacentral:lncRNA from 1 species